AGAAGAGAUCAUUCCUUAGCUAAUAAUUCAGGACAGAGCAGUGUACACUAACAGUAGUCAUUUCGCAAGCUCAAACGAUGAGUAUCGUAGGGAUACUGAUACUUUUGAUUCCUGUGAUCACCUGGCAGGCUCGAUUGACCGAUGCAAGAAGUGAUUGCGCACAAUCCUGCUUUGGAAUAUGGAAUUUCUGCCUUACCGGCUGCAAGGAUUUUAAUGGUUGCGCUAAACAUUGCAACUCAGGAUUAGAGAGGUGUCGAAAUGGCUGCCUUGGUUCACGUGUUGUGAAGAACAUACCUUCGUUCCAUAAGGUUCCUGUCAAGAGGCACAAACACCAUAAGAAAACGCGGAGACUACAGAACCGUUUUAAAGGGAAAAUUUGAAAAUUUACAAUUCGGUGAAAAAUUUUAUUUGUGUUAUCUGAGGGUCAAACUGAAGAAUUUUCAUGUCUAACAAACUUGUAAGAACUAAUUAUUGAACGUAUAAACACAUCAGUUUGGGAUGCUCAUUCGCAGGAAGAUUUUUUGAAUGCCGGAUUAUUGUAAUACUUGGUUAAAUUAAAAUAAAUAACGUCCGUGCAAACAUGA